GUUUUUUAAAAAAAAUUAAAACCCGCUGCGGGUUGUGGGUGGGUUUGGUAAUUUAAAUUUUGUGCGGGUUUGGGUUUAGUAAUGGCAAACCCGCUGCGGGCGGUGCCCAUUGCCAUCCCUAUCGCUAAACAAGAGAAACAAAACCCACAACAUCAACAAAUUUUUAUCAAUCAUAAACAGUUAAUAAAUAUAAAAAUUAUUUUUUACUAAACAUAAAAGCUAAUAAAAAUCAAGAAAAAAUUUCUUAUGUAUAGAGAGCUCGAAAGAGAGAUCAUGAUGUACUAAAAAGGAUUAAAAAAAAACGAAUUAAAAAAAAAAGUGAAAUUGAGUAUGUAGUUUGCAAAAUAUAAGAGAAAAGAGAUAUUACAUAAUUGUAAGGUUAAAAAGAGAAAGAGAUUAUUAGAGGGUAAUCCUGAUAUUUUUAAAUUUUAAAUUUUUAAUAGUUAAUUAAGACAGUUUGAUAUUUUUAAAGGCUUAUUUUCAUUUUUAUUUGGAGGAUACAGAUGUAAUACAUGUUAAGUAGAUGAAUUCAAAAAAAAAAAAAAAACAAAUUAUAAAAAAGAUAAUUCAGAUUUUACUAAACACGUUCUCAGUGAAUCAGAAACCAAAUUACAAAAUAACUUUUAAAAACAAACUUAAUUCAACCACAAUUCACUCUCUUAAUUCCAGAUCUAAAUUUACAGCCAUUUCCCCUUGUGGGAUACUAUUCUUCUUCAACAGCCUCUCUCUCUCCAUCUUAGUUCUUUAAGCAAAAUCGACUGUUGCUGCUGUGUCUCAGCUCCGUCUCAACUGCUAGUGGUGGUGGUGGUGGUGGUGGUGCUGCUGCUGUAUCUCUACUCUGUUUCAGCUGGUGGCAAAUUGAUUGCUGAGGAUCGAUGUUGCUGCUUCUGCUGGUGGUGGAGCGACUACUCCUGCUGCUCAAGUGCAACAGGAGUCCAUGACAAGUGCAGCCAAGAUUGAUGAAGUUAAAGCCAAAUAAUUCAAUGAGGAGAUGAAGAGCAAGUAUGGGCAGUGAUCAAAACUGAUUUUUUUUAAUUACUUUUAUAUGUACUUUUGUUCUGUUUGGUCACUGCAGUGAUGCCCAGUUAGCUAUGAAACAAUGAAUGAAUGAAUGAAAUAUUUCAUGUUCUAUAUUAAUUAAACUUGGAAUAUUUCGUGUCUUAUAUUAAUUAAACUUAUUUUUUUGGAUUCUAAAAAAUCUAUUAGUUAAAUCAUUGGUUUUUAGUUGUAAGUAUGGCUUAAAUGUUUAGUAAAAAAUAUUUUUAAAAAUAGUACCACCGAACACAUAUUUAUUAUUUUUAUUCUUGUUAAUUAUGAAUGCCGAACAUAUAUUAUUACUUUUAAUAAUACAGGAUACAAAACAUGAUACUAAACCCAUACUUAAAUUCAAAAUGGAGCAACUGUAAAAUGACAUUUUUAUUCUUAAUUUUGUUUUUAGAAAAUACUAAUUCAGAAACAAUAUUAAACAGGUCCUUAGUUUUUUAAAAUGGGUGUGGGGAGGAAUUUAGUGUGUUCAAAUAACCCUAUACAUUUGAGAAUUAAUUUUAUACUUAAAAUAAUUUCAUAUAUAUCCUUACAUAUAUUAUAAAAUUAUAAAAUUAUCUUUAUUCAAUUAAGAAAUAAAAGAGAUUGUUAUUUCUCUUAGAUGACGUUUGAUCAGCAGGAGAGGAGGGUGGAAAGGAGAUGAAUUCUGAUUCUUUUAUGAAUUCUUUUGUUCGUUGGUCCAAGUUGAUUGGAAAUCAAUUUCUAAAGUAAUUUCAAUCUACAAAACUGAGGCAUAUUAAGUCUGCACCAAUGGGUAAGGAGUUUAAAUUCCUAACCAAUUUUAAAACAACAGUUUUAAUAUUAUCGUUUAAAUAAGUUAAAAUAUCAUAUUAACUAGUUUAAUAGAAAUAACAAAUAUCUAUUAUUUAAUUAAUUUGAAAAUAUUAAUAUUGAACAACAGCAAUAGUCAUCGGCGAACCACUGCCAAUUUUAUUUCUCAGUCACUAGAUCGUUAGAUUUUGAACAUUUUGAUGUAAUUUUAGGGACGAAAAGCUCUAUUCCGACAAUGAUCCAACUGCGACGGUGCGGCGGCUCUUUGACAGUUUUUCCAGCGAUGUUAAAUUGAUUAUCUUGAUUAAAUAAUAAUUUAUUCAGAAAAUAAUUUAUAUUAUUUAAUUAGUUAUGCAGUGUUACUUAAUUGAUUUUAAAUUAUAUUAAUUAAUCGUAAGU
rnacentral:lncRNA from 1 species